rnacentral:rRNA from 1 species
UACGUAGGGGGCAAGCGUUGUCCGGAAUUAUUGGGCGUAAAGAGCGUGUAGGCGGCCAGCUAAGUCCGCUGUGAAAUCUCGAGGCUCAACUUCGAGCUGUCGGUGGAAACUAUCUGGCUAGAGUCCGGAAGAGGAGAAUGGAAUUCCUGGUGUAGCGGUGAAAUGCGCAGAUAUCAGGAGGAACACCGGUGGCGAAGGCGGGUCUCUGGGCCAAAACUGACGCUGAGGAGCGAAAGCGUGGGGAGCGAACAGG